UUUCGCAAUGCCCGAAAGGGUGACGAAGCGACGCCGCGUGCGGGAAGAAGGCCUUCGGGUUGUAAACCGCUGUCGGGAGUUAAGAAAUGCAAGGGCGUUAACAGCGUCCUUGCUUGACUAAGGCUCCGGAGGAAGCCACGGCUAACUCUGUGCCAGCAGCCGCGGUAAUACAGAGGCGGCAAGCGUUGUUCGGAAUUAUUGGGCGUAAAGAGCACGUAGGCGGCUGUGUAAGUCGGUUGUGAAAUACUUUCGCUUAACGAAAGAACUGCAGCUGAUACUACAAAGCUAGAGUGCGGAAGGGGAGAGUGGAACUUCUGGUGUAGCGGUGAAAUGCGUAGAUAUCAGAAGGAACGCCGGCGGCGAAAGCGGCUCUCUGGUCCGUAACUGACGCUGAGUGUGCGAAAGCUAGGGGAGCAAACGGGAUUAGAUACCCCGGUAGUCCUAGCCGUAAACGAUGGGCACUAAGUAGAGGGGUUUU
rnacentral:rRNA from 1 species